rnacentral:lncRNA from 1 species
AGAAAAUUCACCAAUUAUGGACGUUUCUCCAAAAACGUGUCAAGAGAAAGAGAAAAACAAAAAUGCAUGACUAUGAAUCUACCCAAGUCAGAAAUUCAAGGCCCUGUCUAAAGACACAUCCUGAAUCAAACCAUAUGAGAAAAAUUACAAGACAAGAACACAUUUCAAAAUGGAGGUAGAGGAAACAACACUUUUGGGUAAAGUACAACUGAUGAUUGUGCCAACAUGUGCUAACCCACAGCCCGCAACUGAGGCUGAUACUCCCUGGCAACACUCCAAUUACCACCUCUCAUCUGGCAAGCCCAGUAGUUCAGUUCCUCAACAUCAACGAGCUUGAUAUGAUUGCAGGGAAGUGGCGCCCCUACGUGCCCUGGAACACCGGAGCAAGAUGGCAUUUGUUAGUGUUCAGAUCUGUUUUAGCACUGAAGAUGUUCCAAGCCCCUUAAAAUCUCUGAGUGGCCAAAGUGGGGAAUUAUGGAUGGAAAGUAACACAUCUUUAAAGGGGCAUUUGUUACUGCAAGUGUUGGUAAUAAAACAAAGUGCUGGAGAAAGCAAAGGCCAA